ensembl:lncRNA
AAGAGACUUAUUUUAUUUGUUGUUGAGGGUUUUUUCUAUUUAUUUUUUUUUUUUUAAAUUGCUGUAUUUAGGGAUGUCGGGUAUAUUGCUGGCAUUGACAUUAACACACAUACAGUGCUGUGAAAAAGUACCUGCCCCUAAAGCUAAUAAUGUCUUGUGCCACCUUUGGCAGCACAAACUGCAAUUAAGCAUUUGUGCUAACUGGCGAUGAGUCUUUCACAUCAUUUUGGAAAAAUGUGGAACCACUAUUCUUUGCCAAAAUGUUUUUAUUUAGUCACGUUGGAGUCUUUUGGAGGUUGACUUGCUGGUGUAUUUUGGAUCAUUGUCUUAAGCUUCAGGGCAUGAACUGAAGCCCAGAUAUUCUCCUUCAGGAUUUCCUGGUAAAGAGCAGAAUUCAUGGUUCCAUUAUUUACAGCAAGUCAUCCGGGUACUGAAGCAGCAAAGCAACCUGAAACCAUUUUUUUGAUUCUUGAUCAACAGGUCAUGGAAAUGUGGCAAAUAUGAAAAAAGAAUAAGAAGUCACUAAGUGGGCAAAUAUUUAUAGAAGUUUUGUCUUUUGUAAGAUUAGGUUGCUUAGAUUUUUGCUUUUGCAUAAAUUUGCUCAAAUACAUUUAUGUAGGAUACAAAUUAUUUAAAAUCACAGCUUUCAGUAGGGAUGCAUAAGAAAAUAAAAAGAUGACAGGAUAUUGUAAAAAAAAAAGACAUAAAAAACAUAAUCACACCAUUUCUUCUUCUUUCAUUUAUUCUUGAUUAACAUAUGAGGCAGUGGGAUUUGGUAGGUCAGGUGUGAGCUCCAGUAGCUCUGGUUAACCAGUAAACCAGUAACCAACCAGACCUAAUGCAUCAUUGUAAAUAUAACCCUUUAAAACUAAAUGUACCAUAUUUGAUUUGUAAAAAGAAAAAAAAAGUAAAUUGCAACAUUUAUUUUUAAAGAACGAAAAGCAAAUAAAUGCCUGAUGUUGCAAAUACAACACAAAUCAAAACUUAAUUUGUUUUGUAAGACGUUUAACAUAAUUUAUAAUUCAGCAACGGAUUCUAUAUUGAUCAAAUAUUUGAUAUAAAAUAACUUUAAAAUGAAUUAGGACAUUAUCCUAUCUUUCUCCAUCUGUCAGUGUUGCACAGGAAUGUGUUUUUCCUCUCGCUGGAAAAUACAGCAACUCUUUAUUUAGCUCACAGACACGUUUUGUGAGAAACGGUGCAGAAACACUUUUUGUCUUUGGUGAUAUAUUCUGAUAUUUGCUCAACCAUCAACUUAAAAACUCUUAUAUUUAUAGCAAUAUUCACUAAAUAUGGCCAUGAUAAAAACAAGUGAGUGAGUGUGAUUUAGCAGAAUCGUGCUCUUCAGUUGGUCAUGAACAGCUACAGACUGGUUUGAUGAGUUUCAGCUUCAUCCGCCCCUGCUGGCUUGUCAUAACCAUCCUCCCUGCAGAAAAAAGACAAUGAUGAUCAGACAGGUUAUUUGUUUAAUCGCUUUUACCUGUAGCUACCUUUGAAUACUGUGAGUGAUUUCAUAAUGUAAGAAAGUGCAUCCUAAUUUAUGACUAAUGGAUGGGAAUGCUAGAUAUUUUUAAAGAAAAACAAGGUUAUUAAUUUCACCACCAAGUUAACUGGUAAUUGUAAUGCAGAAGUACAGUUUCUAUUGUUACUGUGGAGGCAGGAUGUGGUCUGUGGCUUAGCUGCAGGGGAGAGGUGGUACAGUGGUUUCAGGGGCACUGCCAGGGGAGGCUGACAGACCCAGCUGUCAACGAUGGUCUAAUCAUGCCUUACCCAUUUCAGUAGCACGCUGGAGCCUGGCAGAGGGAGGACAACACUGGGCUGGCAUUGAGAGACAGAGACCAAACGAAGGCGGCUACUGAGGCCUGAAAAGACCUUUGUAAAUAAGCGUAGCCCAUACACGCAGUCCAGGUACUGGUGAAGAUGGUUGAGGAGCUGCCCACUCUGCAUGAGGAGAUUGAGGCAGUGCAUCAGCAACAAGAUGAGAUGCUACAGACCCAGGCCACGAGACGCAAGCGUGCUCAGAGGAUCCACCAGGGAGCUCUCAACCAAUCAGCCAAUGGUGGCAAGACCACGGCUCCUUGCCCCAAAGAGGAGACUUCGUGGCUCCCUCCAUCACCACCUGAGGGAGAGGAGCUGCCCUGUUCAGUUUCUCUCUGCGUCCCUUAAUUCUGAUUAAAGAAUGCGCCAGAUUGGACUAGGUUUAAUAAACUGAUGGGGCAAUGACAUGUGAUGUCUGUGCUGCGCUCAGAGGGAUAUUUGUUUUAGUUCUUGUGGAUUAUGCAAUGAGAUAUCUCAAAGCAGUGGCGAUGCGUAGCAUUUUUGCAAGGAGUGUAGCACAGAUGCUGUUUUAGUUCACCUCCUGAGUCAGCAUCCUAAAAGAGAUACAGACGGACCACGGCCCCUUGUCUCGCACUUUAAAAGAACACUAUGAAUUAUUGGGCUAAAAGUCUGACGGACCAGCGUCUAUCACUUGCACAGUGAGGGGUCGGUGGGGCAUAUGAAUAAGACUUUAAAGUCUAUGACUCAUAAGUUCAUUUGCAAGGACACAAUUGGCACUGGCUAGACCCACUAUUGUGGUUGUGUAUGAGGUGCCCCAGGACUCUGCAGGAUUUUCUCCCUUUGUGCUGCUGUUUGGCAGGAAGCCAUGAAGGUUGUUGGACUUAAUUAAAGAAAAUUGGGAGGAAGGUACAGGAAGGCUAUUAGUGUUAUGUGCAUGUCAUUAAGCAUCUUAAGUCAUUUAAAAACUAAUAUUACAAAAGCUUCGAAAUAAA